GGCAGUAGCCUGGGCGGCCACCAAGGGUGACCCGGGGGUGGGGAACCCAAUGCACCUCUGGAUUUGGGGUCUCUGGGAGGUCCCCGGGGAGGUCUGCGGGAUGGGGGGGGGGGUCCCACAGUCCCCAAGCCUCGAUGUCCCCGGGGGGCCCUGCCUGGGAGCCCCGGCAGCCCCCGUGUCCCUGAAGCCCCCAUACGGGGGUCCCCGGGGUGCCCUUGUGGCGUCCCCACGUCGGGGUCCCGGUGGUGCCCGAGCCGCUGUGUCCCCAGGGGUGUCCCCACAUAAGGGGAGCCCCCCCCCCACCCCACGUGUGUCCCCGUGCGGGGGUCCCCGCAGUCCCUGAGCCCCCCCCCUCACCUCCCCGUUCCCCGCAGGCGGGCCCCCGGCUGGAGGGGCUGCGGGGCCGCGCGCCCGGCUGCACCUGGGACUCGCUGCGCAACUCGGCGGGCGAGAAGAUCGUGCAGCUGCGGAGCCACCCGCUGGCACCCGUGGGUGCGGGCGCCUGCGCCCUCCUGCAGGAGCUCUCCGAGGAGCAGAGCUUCGCCAUCAGCUACCUCGACAUCAAUGCGUUGAGCCUCAGCGGGCUGCACCAGUGCCUGGUGGAGCUGUCGACGCAGCCGGCCACCGUGUGCCACGGCGCCGCCCCCUCCCGCGACGGCGCCCGCUCGCAGGCCGCCCGCAACGCCCUGCAGUACCUCCGCAUCAUGGCGGGGGGCAAGUGAGCCCCCCCCCAGUCCCUCUGCGCCCUCGGAUGGACGCCCGGACGGACCCACGGACGCCCGGAGCCACCCGCGGACACCUGGAGGGAGCCGGGGAGACGCAGACGGAGCCGGGGACCUACAGGCGGAGCUCUGCAGCCACCGACACGCGCGGACCCCCGGGAUGGAUGCCUGGACCCCCCCCCCGAUGUACACCCGGCCACUGGUGGGCGCCCAGACCCACCCAUGGACACCCAGACAGACACCCGGACCCACGGACGCACCCCGUGGGCGCCCGGACGGACUCUCAGACGCACGGACAGACACACGGACAGACACUCAGGCCCCGCACGGACCCCAGACGGACCUCGGGGCCGGGGGGACCCCCCCGUCCUGGCCCCUCUGCGGGCGAGGUGGGUCCCUGGGCACCAGCCAGCCCCCAGGAAUAAAGCUGGGGGGUUUGUAAACUCCCCGCCUCGGUGUCUUCUUGGGGGGGCCGCGGGAUGGAGGGGCCGUGGGGGG
rnacentral:lncRNA from 1 species